rnacentral:snRNA from 1 species
AGAUUUGAGGGAGAUCUAGUUGCAACAUCUGUCACCCUAUUGAUUAAUAUGAUCUGGCCAGCUAGGCAGUAGUCCCCUUCUUCCCUCACCACUCCAUGUGGAUCCCUCCUGAAGCUGUGUGCUCAAAGAUGACAACCUUCUUCAAAUUAGUGGAGGACUGUCUUUGGUCAAGGGUGUACAAGUGGCUGUGCUUCCCUGAUAGAACCUACAAUCAAGCUCCCAAGUGAAUGGCUCCAAAUGAGACCUGCUGACAGCCUCAAUCCAGUGAAUCUCACACCAUGUUACAUGGUAGCUCAUC